rnacentral:rRNA from 1 species
UAAGGAAUAUUGGUCAAUGGACGCAAGUCUGAACCAGCCAUGCCGCGUGGAGGAUGAAGGUCCUCUGGAUUGUAAACUUCUUUGAUCUGGGACGAAACACUUCUUUUCUAAGAGGCCUGACGGUACCAGAUGAAUAAGCACCGGCUAACUCCGUGCCAGCAGCCGCGGUAAUACGGAGGGUGCAAGCGUUAUCCGGAUUCACUGGGUUUAUAGGGUGCGUAGGUGGGUAUGUAAGUCAGUGGUGAAAUCCCCGAGCUUAACUUGGGACCUUCCAUUGCUACUAUAUGUCUUGAAUACCGUAGAGGUAAGCGGAAUAUGUCAUGUAGCGGUGAAAUGCUUAGAUAUGACAUGGAACACCAAUUGCGAAGGCAGCUUACUAUGCGGUGAUUGACACU